rnacentral:pre_miRNA from 1 species
UAUUAAAAUUUUAUCUAUUUUUAUUGUUAAAAACUUGCGUGUCAGGAGGAAUAACUAGACAGUGCCAUGUGGCUGCCACAUGUACCUCAUGGUGAUGUAUAUAGACCAGUUUUUAAUAGUAGAAAUAGAUAAAUUUUUUAAUA